rnacentral:rRNA from 1 species
UACGUAGGGGGCAAGCGUUGUCCGGAUUUAUUGGGCGUAAAGAGCGUGUAGGCGGCCAGACAGGUCAGCUGUGAAAACUCGAGGCUCAACCUCGAGACGUCGGUUGAAACCGUCUGGCUAGAGUCCGGAAGAGGAGAGUGGAAUUCCCGGUGUAGCGGUGAAAUGCGCAGAUAUCGGGAAGAACACCCGUGGCGAAGGCGGCUCUCUGGGACGGUACUGACGCUGAGACGGCGAAAAGCGUGGGGAGCGAACAGG